rnacentral:rRNA from 1 species
UGGGGAAUAUUGGACAAUGGGCGAAAGCCUGAUCCAGCCAUGCCGCGUGAGUGACGAAGGCCUUAGGGUUGUAAAGCUCUUUCAACGGUGAAGAUAAUGACGGUAGCCGUAGAAGAAGCCCCGGCUAACUCCGUGCCAGCAGCCGCGGUAAUACGGAGGGGGCAAGCGUUGUUCGGAAUAACUGGGCGUAAAGCGCUCGUAGGCGGGUAGGUCAGUCAGGGGUGAAAUCCCGAAGCUCAACUUCGGAACUGCCUUUGAUACUGCCAACCUAGAGUCCGGAAGAGGUGAGUGGAAUUCCUAGUGUAGAGGUGAAAUUCGUAGAUAUUAGGAAGAACACCAGUGGCGAAGGCGGCUCACUGGUCCGGUACUGACGCUGAGGAGCGAAAGCGUGGGGAGCAAACAGGAUUAGAUACCCCUGUAGUCC